rnacentral:rRNA from 1 species
CUGCUGUUAUACAGAAAGAAAAGAUAUAGGAGUGGAAAGCCUAUAUUAUGACGGUACUGUAUCAGAAAGUGACGGCAAACUAUGUGCCAGCAGCCGCGGUAAUACAUAGGUCACAAGCGUUAUCCGAAAUUAUUGGGCGUAAAGCGUCCGUAGGUUGUUUGUUAAGUCUGGAGUUAAAGACCGGUGCUCAACGCCGGCACGCUUUAGAUACUGGCAAACUAGAGUUAUAAAGAGGUAAGUGGAAUUUCAUGUGAAGCGGUGGAAUGCGUAGAUAUAUGAAAGAACACCAAUGGCGAAGGCAGCUUACUGGUUAUAUACUGACACUGAGGGACGAGAGCGUGGGGAGCAAACAGGAUUAGAUACCCUGGUAGUCCACGCCGUAAACGAUGAUCAUUAGUUGGUGGGGGAACCCUCGCUAACGCAGCUAACGCAUUAAAUGAUCCGCCUGAGUAGUAUGCUCGCAAGAGUGAAACUUAAAGGAAUUGACGGGGACCCGCACAAGCGGUGGAGCAUGUGGUUUAAUUUGACGAUACGCGUAGAACCUUACCCACUCUUGACAUCCCUUGCAAAGCUAUAGAGAUAUAGUGGAGGUUAACAAGGUGACAGAUGGUGCAUGGUUGUCGUCAGCUCGUGUCGUGAGAUGUUCGGUUAAGUCCUGCAACGAGCGCAACCCCUAUCCUUAUUUACUAACAUUAAGUUGAGAACUAUACGGAUACUGCUCAGGUAACUGGGAGGAAGGUGGGGAUGACGUCAAAUCAUCAUGCCUCUUACGAGUGGGGCAACACACGUGCUACAAUGGCCGGUACAAAGAGACGCAAUAUGGUGACAUGGAGCAAAUCUGAAAAACCGGUCUCAGUUCGGAUUGAAGGCUGCAAUUCGCCUUCAUGAAGUCGGAAUCGCUAGUAAUCGUAGAUCAGCUACGCUACGGUGAAUACGUUCUCGGGUCUUGUACACACCGCCCGUCACACCAUGGGAGCCGGUAAUGCCCAAAGUC